rnacentral:rRNA from 1 species
CUACGGGUGGCACCAGCAGCGGGGGAUAUUGCACAAUGGAGGAAACUCUGAUGCAGCAACGUCGCGUGAGGGAUGAAGGUUUUCGGAUUGUAAACCUCUGUCCUUGGUGAAGAAAAAAAUGACGGUAACCAAGGAGGAAGCUCCGGCUAACUACGUGCCAGCAGCCGCGGUAAUACGUAGGGAGCGAGCGUUGUCCGGAUUUAUUGGGUGUAAAGGGUGCGUAGGCGGCUACAUAAGUCAGGCGUGUAAUUCAGAGGCUUAACCUCUGAACUGCGCUUGAAACUGUGUGGCUUGAGUGGAGUAGAGGCAGAUGGAAUUUCCAGUGUAGCGGUGAAAUGCGUAGAUAUUGGAAGGAACACCAGUGGCGAAGGCGAUCUGCUGGGCUCUAACUGACGCUGAGGCACGAAAGCAUGGGGAGCAAACAGGAUUAGAUACCCCUGUAGUC